rnacentral:rRNA from 1 species
CUGAUGUUAGCGGCGGACGGGUGAKUAWCACGUGGAUAACCUACCUAUAAGACUGGGAUAACUUCGGGAAACCGGAGCUAAUACCGGAUAAUAUUUUGAACCGCAUGGUUCAAAAGUGAAAGACGGUCUUGCUGUCACUUAUAGAUGGAUCCGCGCUGCAUUAGCUAGUUGGUAAGGUAACGGCUUACCAAGGCAACGAUGCAUAGCCGACCUGAGAGGGUGAUCGGCCACACUGGAACUGAGACACGGUCCAGACUCCUACGGGAGGCAGCAGUAGGGAAUCUUCCGCAAUGGGCGAAAGCCUGACGGAGCAACGCCGCGUGAGUGAUGAAGGUCUUCGGAUCGUAAAACUCUGUUAUUAGGGAAGAACAUAUGUGUAAGUAACUGUGCACAUCUUGACGGUACCUAAUCAGAAAGCCACGGCUAACUACGUGCCAGCAGCCGCGGUAAUACGUAGGUGGCAAGCGUUAUCCGGAAUUAUUGGGCGUAAAGCGCGCGUAGGCGGUUUUUAAGUCUGAUGUGAAAGCCCACGGCUCAACCGUGAGGUCAUUGGAAACUGGAAAACUUGAGUGCAGAGAGGAAAGKGGAUUCCAUGUGUAG